rnacentral:rRNA from 1 species
GACGAACGCUGGCGGCGUGCUUAACACAUGCAAGUCGAACGGAAAGGCCCUGCUUUUGUGGGGUGCUCGAGUGGCGAACGGGUGAGUAACACGUGAGUAACCUGCCCUUGACUUUGGGAUAACUUCAGGAAACUGGGGCUAAUACCGGAUAGGAGCUCCUGCUGCAUGGUGGGGGUUGGAAAGUUUCGGCGGUUGGGGAUGGACUCGCGGCUUAUCAGCUUGUUGGUGGGGUAGUGGCUUACCAAGGCUUUGACGGGUAGCCGGCCUGAGAGGGUGACCGGCCACAUUGGGACUGAGAUAGGGCCCAGACUCCUACGGGAGGCAGCAGGGGGGAAUUUUGCACAAGGGGGGGAGGCCUGAGGCAGCAACCCCGGGUGCGGGAUGCCGGCCUUCGGUUUGAAACCCGCUUUCGCCUGUGACGAAGGGUGCGUGAGGGUAAGGGGAAAAGAAGACCCGGCAAACUCCGUC